rfam:Schistosoma mattheei strain Denwood, Zambia genome assembly, scaffold: SMTD_scaffold0001109
AUGAGCUGACGAGCGCCAAACAGGACGAAACGCGCGUCCUGGAU